GCCUGGGUGGCUCAGUCGGUUGAGCAUUUGACUCUUGAUCUCGGCUCAGGUCAUGAUCUCACGGUUUGUGGGUUCGAGUCCUGCAUCGGGCU
rnacentral:tRNA from 1 species